GACGAACGCUGGCGGCGUGCUUAACACAUGCAAGUCGAGCGGCGCGGCGGACGGGUGAGUAACGCGUGAGUAACUGCCCCCCUCUCUGGGAUAACAGUUGGAAACGGCUGCUAAUACCGGCUCGUUGGGGAUGACUCGCGUCCUAUCAGCUUGCUGGUGGGGUAGUGGCCGACCAAGGCGACGACGGGUAGCCGGCCUGAGAGGGAUACCGGCCCCAUUGGGCUGAGAUACGGCCCAAGCUCCUACGGGAGGCAGCAGUGGGGAGUAUUGCACAAUUGUGGAAACCCUGAUGCAGCAACGCCGCGUGCGGUAUGCCGGCCUGCGGGUUGUAAACCGCUUUCAGCCAUGACGCGGUAGUGGCAGAAGAAGCACCGGCUAACUACGUGCCAGCAGCCGCGGUAAUUC
rnacentral:rRNA from 1 species